rnacentral:lncRNA from 1 species
CUCUGGUCUGCAGUAAAGUUCAGCGUAAAUGGUCCUCCUGGCUCUCUGCGGCGCAGUAUACACUGGAAGGAAAACGACAGAGCACAGAGAGACCUUUGAGGACCAGACACUAGAGAAAUACUGCUUCUCUGAUGGAGGCCCUCACAGG